CCCGCCGCCGCGCACCGCCACCUCACGACCCGCCGUCGCACCAUGACCCGACGCCACGCACCGCCACCCCAUGACCCGCCGCCGCACGCAUCCACCCCCUACCCCGCUGUCGUGCGCCACCACCCCCUGUCCCGCCGCCGCGUGCGCGCAGGAUUCGACUAGCCGGAGCAGCUGCGAGCCGGAUCCAGCCUCGUCCCCCGAGCUCCAUCUUCUUCCCCGCCUCCCUUCCGCGAACCGGACGCCUCCUUCUGGGUUCUCCGGCACCGCUGUGUCUAGCGGUCCAACCUCGUCGCCCGAGGCCGUUCACCGUUGCAGCGCCUCCUUCCGUCCGUGCAACGGGCUCCCGUGCACGGCCCUUGCCGAAGCUGGAAUUUUGGAAGAGUACUUUCAACCUGGAAGAGCACUUUCAACCGUCCAGGAAGACAACAACGACAGCCAGUAUGAUGGAUGUGAGAGUUAUUUUGACAUUUCAUUGUACAGUGCUUCUCUUUGUGUAGUGUUGUGUGUUUUCAAGUGCUUGAUGAAAAUUGAUGUUCCAGGUAGUUCAUGUAUUACUGAGGAGUUCAUGUACUGCCUAGUAAGUAAACCUGUUCAACUAUGUAAGCCACACAAGUUCGAAAGGAUUCACAUCAGUACAAACUCGAGAGGGCAUGUAUUACCGUCCAGAGUACAAACUUCAGUUUACCAAGAAGUUCAUGUAUUACAAUUUAGAGUUCUUGUAUUACUAUCCAUAAAGUAUAACUAUUGGUAUAGAAAAUGUUCAAUAUUUGUUCGAAAGCUACCUGCAAAAGAGAAGCCCUUCUUACAUCCAUUUAGAGCUCACACCACAUGCACCGUCCUCAGUCCAACCCCAUGGCGUCAGAAUGAUCGAGCUCGUCGCAAGUAGCAGUCCAUGGCUGCCAUCUUCCACUUUCCGCUGCCUAGGUCCUUUCCUAUGGAGCUGCAAGGUUUCUCCUCUUCUCCCUCCCAUUCUGAAUUUUGCUCUGGUCUAUCAGUUCGACAUGUAUUCUACUUCAGUUCAAUAUGUCAUUUCAGUUUAGUACGUCGGAGUAUCAUGUACGUCGGUUUAGUUCAGUACGAAAACAUUAGAGAUUCGACAAACAUAAUCAUGUCGCACAAGUUCAAGUAUAGGUAUAGAAGUUUCUCACCAUAAAUAAAUUGAUCUGGAGUCUCCUUGACAAAAUCUCAUCUCUCAUAUUUGUUCCUAUUGUUGUAGGUUGCAGCAAAAACAGGAUGCACAAGUUCAUCUUUUGUAUGCUUUUCAGUACAUCUACUUCCCAAUCGUGAGUUUGAUUUCCUUUGUGUUUCCAUCUUCUUCAUAUAGCACAAACAAGUCCUUGUGGUUAUGCUUGAGAAUGAGCACCAUACUGUCACUUGGUUAAUCAAUUUUGUAGAAAGUUCUCGAGGAUUUCUUUAUGUAGAGUUGUUGCUAACUUCAUAAUUAUACAGAUCAUGCAUUCUAUCCAAUGAGCCAUCAAUUAAAGCAAUUCACAAAUAUAGAGAGGGAAAUAUACAGGAUUGCCAACUAAUAUAUACUCCCUCUGUAAACUAAUAUAAGAGCGUUUAGAUCACUACUUUAGUGAUCUAAACAUUCUUAUAUUAGUUUACGGAGGGAGUAAUAAUUAUAUUUCUUUAUGAAGGGAGUAUUAAUGCUCUACUUAGCACAUUGCUUGUAGUUGUAUCAGUUACCUUUCUUUUGGAGUUAGGUAAUUGAUAAAUAAUCAAGAGGGAUGGUGCACCGUCACGACCGCUUGCCACCCCCACGGCUGCUACAAAUUCUUGUGUGGGUCGCCAUUCCCUACUCCGGCGUGUGUCACCAGUGUCGUGACCGCCCCCAGCCAGCCCCCACGGCUUGCCUUGAUGGUGCCCCCAAGCCUGUCUAGAACCACCAUGAUGAAUAUAAAUCCAUCCAACUAUUCACUUAUGGUCUCAUGAUCAUUUUCUUGAAAAGUGUGCCUUUUCUGCUGUAUUCUCCUUGUUAUUUACUUGUCAAAAUUUAGUUUGAAUCCGCUACAAUUUCCAUGAGUGGAUUUUUUUAAACAGAACUUCCAUGAGUGGAUUUAAAAAUCAACAAAUGUAAAGUUUUAAAAUGCAUACAACAACUACAAAAUAUCAAUUUAGUUCAGUCCAGUUUGUAAUGCUGCGCCACCUUCCGGUCAUUGAAGAGCCCUUGGGUAGGCGCUUCCUCCUCCUCCUCUCAGGUCUGCCUCCUAACACUAUCAGUUCAAAUUUGCUAAUAUCUACAGUACUGGUUGGGGAAUUUUGGUAGUUCAUUUUCCUAAUAUUUGGAUGCUACCCCUUCCUGCAGGACCCGACCCAACAUCUGCCGCCAUGGCACGGCGCCUCCACCUCCCGGCGAAGGACCGCCACCUUCCUGACGACGUGCCCAACCCCGAUGAGGCCUGCCAGCCCUGGAGUUCCUGCCGCGACGCCUCGACCUCUCGUUCAGCCAUGGAUUCUUGCCAUCCACCACACCAUCAGGAACAUGAUUGAUGAAAAAAAUUUGUGUUAGCGAUCAGUACUAGUGCUCAUCAGGACGGCAAGCAGCAGUACUGAUCAAUAUGGCUUACACAAAUACUAGUACUGGUUAGUACUUUCUUAAUGUUAAAGAUGAGCAGUAAAAGAUACAAGUUGCAAUUCCAGGGUAACCUGUCUCAGAUCCUUUUCAGGUUCAGGUAACAAAUGUUUGGUAUUCUUAUAUACUUGCAUCAGUUCAGACUCGCGGAUACAAUAAGUUGAGGGAAAACGCAUACAAAAGUUCAAAGUUGACAAACAUGGGUUCUUUGUUUCAAUGUUCGCUAGUGUAUGCAAAUUGGGUUUGCAUGCAUUCAUAGUUGGAUGGCUAUUGAUCUCUAUAAAACCUUGGAAGCAGUGCUUGCAUUACUAGUCCAACCAUACUAGGUAAAACUGAAUGUACCUAGCCAGUUCAAUAACAUCAUCUCCUUGUGCAAAAAAGUAGUCAAAAAGGUCGAACUGACAUAUGCUUCAGAAUGUCACACAAAAAAAUAUUUAUCUGUAUUUGUCUUUUUCAUGUUGAAUUAUUUGAAGUAAAACAAAAAUAGCUCACCUUUGUGACUUUCAUCAUUUGAAAACCUACAUGCCUCAUGUUCGAACUUUCAAUUUGUUUAAAACUAAACUGAUGGUGCUCUUGUUUCAGUGUCGGGGGAGAAGGCAGAACCUCUGGGUGCAUGAUGGAAAAAAUUGCAAGUUCUUGUUUAGAUGUUCAGGAUACCCUUCUCUCAUUUCAUUUAUGUUCAGGAUAGCAGGUGCAUGAUGGGAAAUUGUGUAUCAUGUAGUUCUUGUUUAGAUGUCGUGCAAGUUAAAAAAUUGUCGAUUUUGCCACUGGAGAGAACCCGUUGGUGCAUUGUUUUUCCACUAUGACGUCCCUUGGUAUGUUCCAUGUGUAUUUAACAGCAGGUCCAUGUAUAUGUAUUACUACAUGAGAA